rnacentral:piRNA from 1 species
UAACACCUGUUUCAGCACAUGACUGGGCC